CCCAGUUCGGAUUGUAGUCUGCAACCCGACUACAUGAAGCUGGAAUCGCUAGUAAUCGCGGAUCAGAAUGCCGCGGUGAAUACGUUCCCGGGUCUUGUACACACCGCCCGUCACACCAUGGGAGUCGGAAAUGCCCGAAGCCGGUGACUCAACCUUUAAGGAGAGAGCCGUCGAAGGCAGGUCUGAUAACUGGGUGAAGUCGUAACAAGGUAAC
rnacentral:rRNA from 1 species